GACGGGGGGGGCAAGCGUUGUUCGGAAUUAUUGGGCGUAAAGGGCUCGUAGCGGAUCCGCCAGUUUGACGUGAAAUCUCCACCGCUCACCGGAGGAGAGGUCGUUGAAUACUACGGAUCUGGAGUUCGGCAGAGGACCAUGGAAUUCCUGGUGUAGCGGUGAAAUGCGUAGAUAUCAGGAGAACACCCGUGGCGAAGGCGGCUCUCGUGGGACGGUCACUGACGAGCGCGAAAGCGUGGGGAGCAAACAGG
rnacentral:rRNA from 1 species